AUGACACAGGGAACUCCCAGUGAGGAGAUUCCCUCUUACCAAUUCACAAUGGCACCUACUCUACAACAUAAAGGUUUGGCUAGUCACCUUGCCACCUCAGUGCCCAGAAUAGUGCCUGGAACAGGGAAUUUCAACAGGUGCUUAUUGAAUGAGUUGAAGGAACUCUAUUGCAUUCGACUAGAAGCCUAUAUCAGUCCAGCAUCCAAGAGCUUCUACAUGUCUAGUAUUUCUUCAGAAAGAAAAAGGCCUUGUGGUAGCUCUCAAAGCUCUGAUCUCUAAGGUUUCAUUAAAUAGUAAAGAGAA
rnacentral:lncRNA from 1 species